CGUUGCACUAUCGUUAACUGAAUACAUAGGUUAACGAGGCGAACCGGGGGAACUGAAACAUCUAAGUACCCCGAGGAAAAGAAAUCAACCGAGAUUCCCCCAGUAGCGGCGAGCGAACGGGGAGCAGCCCGGAGUCUGAAUCAGCUUGUGUGUUAGUGGAACGGUCUGGAAAGUCCGACGGUACAGGGUGAUAGUCCCGUACACGAAAGCACACAUGCUGUGAACUCGAAGAGUAGGGCGGGACACGUGGUAUCCUGUCUGAAUAUGGGGGGACCAUCCUCCAAGGCUAAAUACUCCUGACUGACCGAUAGUGAACCAGUACCGUGAGGGAAAGGCGAAAAGAACCCCGGCGAGGGGAGUGAAAAAGAACCUGAAACCGUGUACGUACAAGCAGUGGGAGCCUCUUUAUGGGGUGACUGCGUACCUUUUGUAUAAUGGGUCAGCGACUUAUAUUCUGUAGCAAGGUUAACCGUAUAGGGGAGCCGAAGGGAAACCGAGUCUUAACUGGGCGUUAAGUUGCAGGGUAUAGACCCGAAACCCGGUGAUCUAGCCAUGGGCAGGUUGAAGGUUGGGUAACACUAACUGGAGGACCGAACCGACUAAUGUUGAAAAAUUAGCGGAUGACCUGUGGCUGGGGGUGAAAGGCCAAUCAAACCGGGAGAUAGCUGGUUCUCCCCGAAAGCUAUUUAGGUAGCGCCUCGUGAACUCAUCUUCGGGGGUAGAGCACUGUUUCGGCUAGGGGGCCAUCCCGGCUUACCAACCCGAUGCAAACUACGAAUACCGAAGAAUGUUAUCACGGGAGACACACGGCGGGUGCUAACGUCCGUCGUGAAGAGGGAAACAACCCAGACCGCCAGCUAAGGUCCCAAAGUCAUGGUUAAGUGGGAAACGAUGUGGGAAGGCACAGACAGCCAGGAUGUUGGCUUAGAAGCAGCCAUCAUUUAAAGAAAGCGUAAUAGCUCACUGGUCGAGUCGGCCUGCGCGGAAGAUGUAACGGGGCUAAACCAUGCACCGAAGCUGCGGCAGCGACACUUAUGUGUUGUUGGGUAGGGGAGCGUUCUGUAAGCCGUUGAAGGUGUGCUGUGAGGCAUGCUGGAGGUAUCAGAAGUGCGAAUGCUGACAUAAGUAACGAUAAAGCGGGUGAAAAGCCCGCUCGCCGGAAGACCAAGGGUUCCUGUCCAACGUUAAUCGGGGCAGGGUGAGUCGACCCCUAAGGCGAGGCCGAAAGGCGUAGUCGAUGGGAAACAGGUUAAUAUUCCUGUACUUGGUGUUACUGCGAAGGGGGGACGGAGAAGGCUAUGUCAGCCGGGCGACGGUUGUCCCGGUUUAAGCAUGUAGGCGGAGGUUCCAGGUAAAUCCGGUACCUUAUUAACGCUGAGGUGUGAUGACGAGGCACUACGGUGCUGAAGUGAUAAAUGCCCUGCUUCCAGGAAAAGCCUCUAAGCAUCAGGUAACACGAAAUCGUACCCCAAACCGACACAGGUGGUCAGGUAGAGAAUACCAAGGCGCUUGAGAGAACUCGGGUGAAGGAACUAGGCAAAAUGGUGCCGUAACUUCGGGAGAAGGCACGCUGAUGUGUAGGUGAAGCCCCUGCGGGUGGAGCUGAAAUCAGUCGAAGAUACCAGCUGGCUGCAACUGUUUAUUAAAAACACAGCACUGUGCAAACACGAAAGUGGACGUAUACGGUGUGACGCCUGCCCGGUGCCGGAAGGUUAAUUGAUGGGGUUAGCGGCAACGCGAAGCUCUUGAUCGAAGCCCCGGUAAACGGCGGCCGUAACUAUAACGGUCCUAAGGUAGCGAAAUUCCUUGUCGGGUAAGUUCCGACCUGCACGAAUGGCGUAAUGAUGGCCAGGCUGUCUCCACCCGAGACUCAGUGAAAUUGAACUCGCUGUGAAGAUGCAGUGUACCCGCGGCAAGACGGAAAGACCCCGUGAACCUUUACUAUAGCUUGACACUGAACACUGGUCCUUGAUGUGUAGGAUAGGUGGGAGGCUUUGAAGCGUGGACGCCAGUCUGCGUGGAGCC
rnacentral:rRNA from 1 species